GACGAACGCUGGCGGCGUGCUUAACACAUGCAAGUCGAACGGAAAGGCCCUGCUUUUGUGGGGUGCUCGAGUGGCGAACGGGUGAGUAACACGUGAGUAACCUGCCCUAGACUUUGGGAUAACUUCAGGAAACUGGGCCUAUUCCCGAAAGGGGGCCUCGCCUCAUGGGUGGGGGUUGAAAAUUUUCGGCGGUUGGGGAUGGACCCGCGGCUUAUCAGCUUGUUGGUGGGGUAGUGGCUUACCAAGGCUUUGACGGGUAGCCGGCCUGAGAGGGUGACCGGCCACAUUGGGACUGAGAUACGGCCCAGACUCCUACGGGAGGCAGCAGUGGGGAAUAUUGCACAAUGGGCGGAAGCCUGAUGCAGCAACGCCGCGUGCGGGAUGACGGCCUUCGGGUUGUAAACCGCUUUCGCCUGUGACGAAGCGUGAGUGACGGUAAUGGGUAAAGAAGCACCGGCUAACUACGUG
rnacentral:rRNA from 1 species